rnacentral:misc_RNA from 1 species
GAAGAACUGAAGAACCCAACCAGGAAGAAGGAGAAGAAGGAGAAGGAAAGGGAAAAAAAAAAUUGCAGUGCUGCUGAGUUUUUCAAAGAAAAGUGCAGGAGAGGGAGGAAGAUAGGAUGACAGAGGAGGAAGAAGAUAGCAGAAACAGAGGAGAGAGAGAGAGAGAGACAGACAUACCUGGAUUCGCAGCUCUGGAGGUGGAGGCGACACUAUUUUCCUUUUCUCUGUCGGCAACAGGUAAGUGUGUAGGGUUUUAUAUUUUUGUCUUAAAAAAU